UGUCUACUAACGCUAGUUGUGGCUAAGUUAUCUCACCUCUGUUAUUGUCUUGAAAUCUUAUCAUCAUCUUUGUUUAAACAGAGAGGCCAGCACAUUCCUGUUCUGUUCCUGUUGUUUCCCCUUCAUCCAAAAUGUUGGUUUGGUGCUCGACUCCAUAGACAACAAACUGAAAAAAAUUAUAAAAAUAAAAUACAGAUCGAUCAUUGUAAUAAGUGUUUUAUUAAGCUUAAAAGUAAGUCAUAAUGUACUGCUAUCUCCUUUUGUGUCUCUUACAAAAAAUAAAGUCAUGUGGGUUUGGAAAGAGAUGAGGGUGGAGGGGCAGAGGAUCAGACAGACAGGAGUAACCAAGACUCAUUUCUACACAGAUGGACAUGUAAAAAGAGCACAAAUGGAGAAUUUUGAAGCAUCUUCAGACAACUUUUCAGACAACGGUGAUCAAAAGUGUUUUUUU
ensembl:lncRNA